rnacentral:tRNA from 1 species
GGCAAGAUGGCCGAGCGGUGUUAGGCGCUGGUUUGAGGCACCAGUAUCUUCGGAGGCGUGAGUUCGAAUCCCACUAUAGUCA